rnacentral:rRNA from 1 species
UGAGCAAUCUGCCCUUCUCUUCGGAAUAAGCGUUGGAAACGACGUCUAAUGCCGAAUACGACCUCCUUUCGCAUGAUCGGAGGUGGAAAGCUCCGGCGGAGAAGGAUGAGCUCGCGGCCUAUCAGCUAGUUGGUGUGGGUAAUGGCCCACCAAGGCGACGACGGGUAGCCGGCCUGGAGAGGGUGACCCGGCCACACGUGGGACUGAGACACGGCCCAGACCUCCGUACGGGAGGNAGCG